rnacentral:rRNA from 1 species
UACAGAGGGUGCGAGCGUUAAUCGGAAUUACUGGGCGUAAAGCGUGCGUAGACGGUUAUUUAAGUCGGGUGUGAAAGCCCCGGGCUCAACCUGGGAAUUGCAUUCGAGACUGAAUAGCUAGGGUACGGUAGAGGGAAGUGGAAUUUCCGGUGUAGCGGUGAAAUUCGUAGAUAUUCGCAAGAACACCAGUGGCGAAGGCGGCCAACUGGUCCGAUACUGACGCUGAGGCGCGAAAGCGUGGGGAGCAAACAGG